GACGAACGCUGGCGGCGUGCUUAACACAUGCAAGUCGAACGGAAAGGCCCUGCUUGCAGGGUACUCGAGUGGCGAACGGGUGAGUAACACGUGGGUGAUCUGCCCUGCACUUCGGGAUAAGCCUGGGAAACUGGGUCUAAUACCGGAUAGGAGCCAUUUUUAGUGUGAUGGUUGGAAAGUUUUUUUCGGUGUAGGAUGAGCUCGCGGCCUAUCAGCUUGUUGGUGGGGUAAUGGCCUACCAAGGCGGCGACGGGUAGCCGGCCUGAGAGGGUGGACGGCCACAUUGGGACUGAGAUACGGCCCAGACUCCUACGGGAGGCAGCAGUGGGGAAUAUUGCACAAUGGGCGCAAGCCUGAUGCAGCGACGCCGCGUGGGGGAUGACGGCCUUCGGGUUGUAAACUCCUUUCGCUAGGGACGAAGCUUUUUGUGACGGUACCUAGAUAAGAAGCGCCGGCUAACUACGUG
rnacentral:rRNA from 1 species